GAUGAACGCUGGCGGCGUGCCUAAUACAUGCAAGUCGAGCGAACAGACGAGGAGCUUGCUCCUCUGACGUUAGCGGCGGACGGGUGAGUAACACGUGGAUAACCUACCUAUAAGACUGGGAUAACUUCGGGAAACCGGAGCCAAUACCGGAUAAUAUAUUGAACCGCAUGGUUCAAUAGUGAAAGACGGUUUUGCUGUCACUUAUAGAUGGAUCCGCGCCGCAUUAGCUAGUUGGUAAGGUAACGGCUUACCAAGGCAACGAUGCGUAGCCGACCUGAGAGGGUGAUCGGCCACACUGGAACUGAGACACGGUCCAGACUCCUACGGGAGGCAGCAGUAGGGAAUCUUCCGCAAUGGGCGAAAGCUUGACGGAGCAACGCCGCGUGAGUGAUGAAGGUCUUCGGAUCGUAAAACUCUGUUAUUAGGGAAGAACAAAUGUGUAAGUAACUAUGCACGUCUCGACGGUACCUAAUCAGAAAGCCACGGCUAACUACGUG
rnacentral:rRNA from 1 species